rnacentral:lncRNA from 1 species
UUGACACAUCCUCCUAAACAAGAGAACCUGAAAGAUUUAACAAAAACAAUUUCACCACAUAAGGUGCUUUUAUUGCUGCUCUACAUUAAACUUGAGGGAAAGCCACAUUAUUUAACAAGCUACUUAAACGUACAGAACAGCUCAGAAUCCAGUCUUACUCUGACAUCACAGGUUAUCUGACUUGCAAAGCAAUUCCCAAUAUUGCUUGACUUUUUUUUAGUGCACACAAUUGAGUUCAUCUCAGAAGACAUACCAACAAUAGGAACAUUUGGGUGCCACUUACAUUGUGGGUUCCUGAAAAAUCCUUUGUGGCUUUAAUCCCACAGUACUACCUGGAAGUUUCUGAAGAUUAAACCGUAACUCAUGACGUAAAACUCCAAGAGAUUACAAUCAAUUCUGUAACAUCCCCCAUUUUUUGUAUACCAACAAUUUAAUUUAUAACACGCUAACUUAAGUUUCAGUGAAAGUUCAAGCUGGCCCUACCUAAAAAUGAAGCUAUGUUUUCUGACAGCUCUGACAUGAGCUAAAGAAUAAGGCCACUUCAACUUGGUCCUUUUUUUUUUUUUGCAUUGAAAAAAAUGAAGAUGCAUCAUCAUUUAAGUUUGAAUAUCAUAGAUUGCAUAACCAAAGAGGCAACGCUUUCUCUAAUAUCACUGUAAGCACAAAUGACCCCACAUUAGAUGUAACACAGGCAGUAAAGAUUCGUAAUACUGUACCCUGGACAACUCUCACUAGAAGGCAGACUGCUUUCUGCUGGGUUCUUUGCAAUGGAAAAUUUCUAGGGUUACAACUACAGCAGGAAGGCAUCCCAUUACACACAUUUACAAUGUGACUAGCCAGCAGGGCUGAACAGCCAUAGGUAGACUCAGAGGUUAAGCAGCAGUACAAAAAUUGUUACAAAAAAAAUGAACAAGUUGCUUGUUCAAGUACUGCUGUUUAACAUUCCAAGUCUCUUAUACAAAGAAAGUACAUUUUCAAGCUGAGCAACAAUCCUUCCAAGCUGCUUUUAUGUAUCACAUACACUAUUUAUACAUUUAACUUUGCUCUUCCCCUAGUAAAAAUAACUUAUAUUGUGCUUUUCAUGGUAUAUCUGUAUUUCACUAUCAUGUUUUCCUCCUUUGCAGAGUAUUCGGUUAUGGUGGGAGACUACAAAAUAUUUUUUUUUUAGCACUUGGUAUUAGAAUAACCAAUUAGUUUCAAUAAAAAGUGAUGCUGCCAUUAAAAAGGCAGAGGAUAAAAAAAAUUAAAGCUCUUUAUUAACUUACCUCUAAAAUCUAUAUUUUCCACAAAGGUUACAUUCUCACAGCAAUGUUAGAAGACAGUACAACAUUUGUCCGGAUCUGUUUAUUAUUGGCAUAUGCAAUUUAUUAGCCAGUUGGUCUAUAAGAUGCUCACCAUAGGCAAACUAAAUACUGUGCUUUUAGGAAAUCUGUUUCGAAAUUAUUUGAUGUUCCUUUUACUUUGAACAUAUUUACAAAAAGGAUUUUAUGUGUGUUAGCAAUAAAUAAUCCCAAUAUUCAAGAUGUCAGUGCUCAUGCACACACCGACAGGAUGGCUGCAUGCUUUAAAAAUAUUAUUUACAGUACAGUCUCCUUCACAGCCCUCUCCCUAAUAAUAGCAGAAAGUGCAUUUUCUUCCUUUCCUUUCCUGUAGGUUUAGUCUUGCUUCUGAGGGAUACAACCUUCCAUCUCAACAACUUCCGGCCAGCCUUCAUAUUUGUUUGUGUCCUUGUUGUUCUUUAUAUGCUGCUCAAAGGGACUUUUAGUUUUAAUUCCUUUUCCACCACAGAAGACCCAAUUGUCCCUAAAGCCAAGGUUAGUGAUGGAUGUGCUUCCCAGUUCAGCAAUCAGUUUCCGUGCUUCCUCAUUAAGCUUGGUUGCACCAUCAUCAUAUGUCCCCAUGAGCACAAUGGUUCCAUCCUGUAUGGAUUUAAGAAAUUCAAUAAAUGGUGCCACAUCUCCUCCCCACAUGUCAAAGAAUUUAGUGUCUAACGGUUCUCCUGUUUUACCAUUGACCAAGGCAACAUUUAUUCCUCUGCCAACAUUAUUUUUAACUCCACUCAUUAAUACAUUAUCUUCUACACAAAUUUUAGGUCCAACUACAUUUGCUGCUCCACUUGCCAUUUUGAAUGCAAAAUGCUUUUCAGGACAAGCUUUAGAGAUCCCACAUUUGUAUCUUGGAGGUUUUGUAGAGCGUGCAGCUGCAUCCAAUGCUGAUCGAGCAAAUAUGUGUCCUAAGUUUGCU